GGAAGUAAAGGUCGUAACAAGGUUUCCGUAGGUGAACCUGCGGAAGGAUCAUUAUUGAAUGAAACACUUCUGGCUUUAUGCUGUUGUGCUGGCCCUUUGGGCAAUGUGCACACGGCUCUGGUCACUUGUUUCUUCUGUUCCACCUGUGCACUGCCUGUAGACACGCUGUGUCUAUGAUAUUUGUUAACACACAACAAUGUUAGUUGGCAUGUUAUAUAUAAUAAUAAAAUAUACAACUUUCAACAACGGAUCUCUUGGCUCUC
rnacentral:misc_RNA from 1 species